AUUGAACGCUGGCGGCAGGCCUAACACAUGCAAGUCGAACGGCAGCACGAUAAGAGUUUGUUCUUUCGGGUGGCGUGUGGCGGGCGGGUGAGACGUCCAUCAAACUCCACUAUGUCGGGGGGGAUUUCGUGGAAACGGUUACGAUAACAGCGCAUACUACCUACGGGAAAGAGCAGGAGAUCUUGGCACCUUGCCUGCUGGUAUGAGCCGAUGUCGGAUUAGCUAGUUGGUGGGGUAACGGCUCACCAAGGCGACGAUCCGUAGCUGGUCUGAGAGGAUGAUCAGCCACACUGGAACUGAGACACGGUCCAGACUCCUACGGGAGGCAGCAGUGGGGAAUAUUGCACAAUGGGCGCAAGCCUGAUGCAGCCAUGCCGCGUGGGUGAAGAAGGCCUUCGGGUUGUAAAGCCCUUUUAUUGGGGAAGAAAAGAAGAAGGUUAAUACCUCGCCGUAUUGACGUUACCCAAAGAAUAAGCACCGGCUAACUUCGUG
rnacentral:rRNA from 1 species